rnacentral:rRNA from 1 species
GACGAACGCUGGCGGCGUGCUUAACACAUGCAAGUCGAACGGAAAGGCCCUGCUUUUGUGGGGUGCUCGAGUGGCGAACGGGUGAGUAACACGUGAGUAACCUGCCCUUGACUUUGGGAUAACUUCAGGAAACUGGGGUUAAUACCGGAUAGGAGCUCCUGCUGCAUGGUGGGGGUUGGAAAGUUUCGGCGGUUGGGGAUGGACUCGCGGUUUAUCAGCUUGUUGGUGGGGUAGUGGCUUACCAAGGCUUUGACGGGUAGCCGGCCUGAGAGGGUGACCGGCCACAUUGGGACUGAGAUACGGCCCAGACUCCUACGGGAGGCAGCAGUGGGGAAUAUUGCACAAUGGGCGGAAGCCUGAUGCAGCAACGCCGCGUGCGGGAUGAAGGCCUUCGGGUUGUAAACCGCUUUCGCCUGUGACGAAGCGUGAGUGACGGUAAUGGGUAAAGAAGCACCGGCUAACUACGUG